rnacentral:snRNA from 1 species
ACUCUCAUAAUUCAUAUAAUGAA